UACGAAGGGUGCAAGCGUUACUCGGAAUUACUGGGCGUAAAGCGUGCGUAGGUGGUUUGUUAAGUCUGAUGUGAAAGCCCUGGGCUCAACCUGGGAAUUGCAUUGGAUACUGGCAGGCUAGAGUGCGGUAGAGGAUGGCGGAAUUCCCGGUGUAGCGGUGAAAUGCAUAGAGAUCGGGAGGAACAUCAGUGGCGAAGGCGGCCAUCUGGGACAACACUGACGCUGAAGCACGAAAGCGUGGGGAGCAAACAGG
rnacentral:rRNA from 1 species